UCGCUUCAGCAGCAAAUAUACUAACAUUGCAACGAUACAGAGAAGAUUAAUAUGGCCACUGUGCAAGGAUGAUGAUAUGCAAAUUCGUGAAGCGUUCCAUGUUUUU